CCUACGGGAGGCAGCAGUGAGGAAUAUUGGUCAAUGGCCGUAAGGCUGAACCAGCCAAGUAGCGUGAGGGAAGACUGUCCUAUGGGUUGUAAACCUCUUUUAUGCGGGGAUAAAGGUGUCCACGUAUGGAUGUUUGCAGGUACCGCAUGAAUAAGGACCGGCUAAUUCCGUGCCAGCAGCCGCGGUAAUACGGAAGGUCCGGGCGUUAGCCGGAUUUAUUGGGUUUAAAGGGAGCGUCGGCCGGUCUUUAAGCGUGCCGUGAAAUUUUGUGGCUCAACCAUGAGAGUGCGGCGCGAACUGGAGACCUUGAGUGCGCGGAAGGCAGGCGGAAUUCGUGGUGUAGCGGUGAAAUGCUUAGAUAUCACGAAGAACCCCGAUUGCGAAGGCAGCCUGCCGCAGCGUUACUGACGCUGAGGCUCGAAAGCGCGGGUAGCGAACAGGAUUAGAUACCCUGGUAGUC
rnacentral:rRNA from 1 species